CAGAGCGUCGAUCGAUGCUUCUUCAGACAAGCGUUAUCGCACAGAUCAAUAAUGUUCAAUUAGCUCUAGACCAACUCUCGUAUGCGCCUAGAUAACGAAUCCACGCAGGGUUCGGGUUCUGUUAAUCAAUUGCACUUUCGUGCCUCUCAAUUAUCCUAUGAUUCUAGGUUCAAACAAUCAGUCACACUAUCGUGCUUUUCUAACUAUUCCAGAUCUUAGUAUUACAAGCUACCCUGGUGUAGAAAUCAGUAAACAAACCCUAGAAAUCCUAAUAGAUUAUCAAUAUGACAUUAUGCUCAUGGAAUCCCUAAACCUAACAGGAUGAAUUACUCGGACAUGCAAG
rnacentral:lncRNA from 1 species